AAGGGUGGGGUGGGGCUGAAUAAAGGAGCGGAGGCUGUAGGAACUAGGGCUACCACCCACCACCGGCUUUGGAGCAAGAAGAGAUUGACACCCUCCCGUGCUAGAGCAAAGGGAGCAUUUUCAAGGCGUGUCUUGUUUCAUUUUUUGCAAGCUGAUGGCACGCACGGGUUGCAGGGUGUCAAGCUGAUCAGCAUUCAAGUGGCGAUGAGUGAGCAAAGUGAAGUGAGAGAGGCGCGUGCAACUGGCAGUGGAAGCUGAGAGGAUGGUGCAUGGGGAAAGAGAGAGAGAGGGAGAGAGAUGGGAAGAAGCUGUUUGUGUUGCCUUGGGAUUUUUCCACUUUGAAACCUACCAGGACCAGUUGCUACGAAGCAUGAAGCAGGCGGUGAUGGUUGUGAUGAUGAGGAAAGGCUGUUUCUAAAUGACUGGGCUGCAGCUCCCUCAGAAUACAAGCAACAAAUGGCAGCGGGCUGUGGCCGGGCUGCAGCAGCAGCAGCUGCAACUCCCAGGUAUAUUUUUAAGAAGAAUACGGACCAUGAGGAAGUCCACCUAUUAGUCCAUUUUUGCUAAUUCUGCUGAAGAAAAUGAAGCUACGCUUUGGCUGUACAGAAUCUUUUACCACCACUGUUGGGUAAAUGAGAAAUGGUCGUGUGAUUAUGCUGACAUCCCAGCAUGCAUUUGGUAGACCUGUGGUUAACUCGUUCCCUCUCCAUGUGUCUGCUCUUACAAAGUUUUGUCCUCAUGAUACUGUGCUUUCAUUCUGCCAGUAUGUGCCCAAAAGGCUGCCUUUGUUCUCAUUCUGGAGGUUUAAAUGUCAGUUGUAGCAAUGCAAAUCUCAAGGAAAUACCCAGAGAUCUUCCUCCUGAAACAGUCUUACUUUAUUUGGACUCCAAUCAGAUAACAUCCAUCCCAAAUGAAAUUUUUAAGGACUUGCAUCAACUGAGAGUCCUCAAUUUAUCCAAAAAUGGUAUUGAAUUUAUAGAUGAACAUGCCUUUAAAGGAGUGGCAGAAACCUUGCAGACUUUGGACUUGUCUGACAACCGGAUUCAAAGUGUGCACAAAAAUGCUUUCAAUAACUUAAAAGCCAGAGCCAGAAUUGCAAACAAUCCUUGGCACUGUGACUGUACUCUGCAGCAGGUCCUGAGGAGCAUGGCGUCCAACCAUGAAACAGCCAACAACGUCAUCUGCAAGACUUCUGUGUUAGAUGAACAUGCUGGGAGACCAUUCCUCAAUGCUGCCAAUGAUGCAGAUCUUUGUAACCUUCCUAAAAAGACUACUGAUUAUGCCAUGCUAGUCACCAUGUUUGGCUGGUUCACCAUGGUGAUAUCCUAUGUAGUUUAUUAUGUGCGGCAAAAUCAAGAGGAUGCAAGAAGGCACCUUGAGUACUUAAAAUCCCUGCCAAGCAGGCAAAAGAAACCAGAAGAAGCUGAUGACAUUAGCACUGUGGUAUAGUAUCCUGAAUACAACAGACUUUGAGAUGGCAAUUAGAUUUGGAUGGCACUAAAACCAGAGGUUUACUUCUAACAUUCAUUGUAAACAUUUAAGACUUUUUUUUUCCAGUUUAACUGAAUUAUGCCACUGUUGAUCUUUCUAACAAAGGUUUUUGUUUGGGUGGUAUACGUUAAUUGUUUCUCUGGUGGUAUUCUAAAGCAAGUAAACUAAUAUGUAAACAUUAGUUAGACCCAUUUAAUAACAAAAUUUAUUUUUUUAAUUUAAAACCAAAUAAAAGCUUAACUUUGAACCAUGUUAAACAGAGUAAUUUAUUGAUCAGAAAUCUGUCUAGUGACUAAACCUGUUUGGUUUGUCAAUAUUAAUGAGAUUAAAAAUAGUAGUAAUACCAUGGGUCAUAACACUCAUAAAAUCCUGGGAACUCCAGUUCACAGCCAGGGGCUGCUCUUGAUUUACUCGGAGGAAAUCAAAUGAAGAGCUGAUAAAUAGUAGCCCUUUUGUUGUUUGCCUUUCAAAAGGAAAGGGGAGUGGAGGUUGGGAGAGCAGGUAGGCAGUAAGUUCCCGUGGGCUUAAGAAACGGAAGAUAUGAUGGAGCUCUGAAUAGCACUUCAACUGAGCUAAGGAGCAGCAGCCAUGAGGAAGCCCGUACCUCAGGAUGCCACAGCCAAUUGGACAGAUCUGUGUUGGAUUGAAGCCCAAAGAAGAGGACCCAGAAUGCAGUACAAACAGAAGUCUAUGAAAGGACAUAUGCAACCUAGCCUGAAGAUUUGGAGAAGCGUUUCCUACUAGCAGACCUGAUGGAGCUGCUCCUAGCGAACAUUUGACAGUGGUUCCUAACUUUUUUUUUUUUUAACUGCACUGGUUUACCAGAUUAAGCCCUCAGCUCUUCUAUCCUCUCAUUCAAUUGUGUGUGCUCUAACAAUGCAAUUUAUCUUACGAUCAUGACCUUGGGAACCAAGCAGCCUCAAACGUGGGUUAGUAUGUGUCCAAAUGAAGAGGAGGGGAUCCAGGAUAGGGGUGUGUCAGGGAGGGAAAGCUGGGUAUACUAAUUACAAAAGCCUGAAACUCCUGUAGUGGUUUAAGCGGUUCUAGAUAUUCCAAUCUAAAUCUGUUUUUCAUGCUCUUUAAUUAAUGGUGUAAUGCUGAAAUGUGUUCUGUAGGUGGAAGUGAUGGCACAGAAAUGAAGCCAUUACUAACAUUCCUGGAACACACAGGUACUUAGUUGCUAAGUUAAGUUUUGCAUAUCGUGCCUCUGCUUCAGCCUGCCAAGCUAUUCCAUCCGCACUAUGUAAUAGCUUCAGCUACCAAAAGACAAGCAGAUUUGCCACAAUUGCCUGUUCUACAUAGGGGUAAUCUGUCUCUAAAACCAAACCCAUUAUUCUUACUUUGGGGACUAAAUCAUCCUUUGGAUCACUGGCAGAUUUGUUUCCUUCAUGGCAACAGGGUCCUUCUAAACCACUCAAAUUUAAAUCUGUCAAAUUUUGUGCAGCUCCAUGUACAACAUUUCCCAUCAGUGGAAAAUAGUCACUUAUUUUUCCAUCACCAUGUCCCCCAAGCAGUUGGACAGGAUGGGGGCUAGCAGAAGUUUGUAACUCAUACUUCACUAGAGGGCAAUGGACGGCUGGGCAGAAGGAGGGGCAGCUUGUAGGAGCCAGGGUUGACUGGAGAAGUCAGUCAGAAUCAAGAUAUUGGAGGGAAUCUAGGCAGCCCAUCGGGAAGGUAAGCUAGGAGCUUUAUGGGUUGAGAGAGAGGAGAAGGGGCAGGAGAGCCUGAGGACAUAACCAGUGUCAUUGGAUCGGCUGAGCAAGGCCAGGAGUAAUCUCUGCCACCCCACCCAUCCCCUUCUGUAGCAGUCCCCCUUCAGCACUAUUUCACACCCCCCCCCAAUCUGUUCCUCACCCAUGAUAAAGAGUGACUUUUGCAGCAUGCUGUUGGAUCCAGAAGGAGCAUUGAGACUAGAGGAGAACCUGCACUAGUAUAUCCUAGAAAGGCUUUGCUGGUGCAGUUGUACCAGCAACAUCACCUACUAGAGACACAGUAUAUAUGGGCAAAGGGAGUUCUUUUGCUGGUAUAGUUAAAACUGUAUGACAUCAGCUGUGCUGCCAAAAGAACUCUCUUGCUAGGAUAAGCUGUGCUGGGGGGGGGGGAGGUGGGGGUUGAGAGAACAGGGUUUCCAACAUCACUGUGUCAUUUAGGGGCAUGGUUUUCACAUGCCGAACUUGCCAUAGCAAUGCUGGGAAAACUUUGUCAUGUACACAUGGCCACAGUCUGCCUGCAAGAGUUCAGAUGUCCAGCAAUCCAGUGCAGUGGUCGGGAGUAGUGAUUACAAGGAAGUCACUGCAGCAUGUGUGAGGUUACAGCACAGCUGUGGGAAUGCAGGAGGAGAACAUCAUACCCAAUCCAGAACACAUGACAUCUCAGAAUAAUGAAAAACAAUUUUACCUACCACAAGCCCUAGGGCACCUGACAGUUUACUUAACUCAAUUCCUAGACUGCCUCAAUGCCUUGCACUUGAAGUUAGAGAGCCUUGUUUUCUCCAUUAGCCAAGGCACCUCAGCAGAGCUGCUCAGCUGGCAGGGAGGCUUUCAACACCGCUAACAAGACAGACCCACAAGCUCAUUGGCCUGUAUAUACCUCAGAGAGUGUUUCUCCUGUGAGCCCCCUCCAUCCAUGUAUAUGGGUGAUUUGUGCCUUUCUUUCAGCAGAUCAGCUCCAACCCCUCCCCCUAGCACUGAGGCAGUGCUGGUUUCUCUGAACAGCUUCGCCUAGGUGGUGAUUAGGCCAGGGCUCCAUUGAACAGCUUCGCCUAGGUGGUGAUUAGGCCAGGGCUCCAUUGAACAGCUUCGCCUAGGUGGUGAUUAGGCCAGGGCUCCAUUGAACAGCUUCGCCUAGGUGGUGAUUAGGCCAGGGCUCCAUUGAACAGCUUCACCUAGGUGGUGAUUAGGCCAGGGCUCCAUUGACCAGCAUCGCAACUCUGAGGCUUCUUCAAGCCUGAAGGCUGACACUCCAGCAAAUGACACUUCAGCUGCUGCUCUCUUUCCCACCCAACUGUUAGGCUAGUUCUCUGAGGAGCAAGAUGAUGAAUCCAAGGCCUCUGCACUUCAAGGCCAGUAAUACAGUAAAUGCCUCAGCAGCUCUCCUGCCUCCGACUUGGCAGGGAAGGUAAAGUUCUUGCUUAGUGCUUAGACAAAGCAGGAGUUACUCCAAAGGCCACAGCUAAUCAGCUGCCUCACAUCACUACUUCUGCAGCAGUCUCUUCCCUCACUGACCUUCGGAGAAGUGAUAUUUUUCUGCAUUGUUUUAAAAGCUCUGGCUCAGAAGAAUAAUGUUCACGCUCCAGUGUUCCAGCAGCAGAGUGUUAAACUGGCUGUCUGUGUUUUUAGAAACACGGGGUAGAUGUGUAGGGAAGGGGGUGGGAGCUGUGCUAAUGAAGACAUCAUUUCCUGCUUCUCCCUUUGCUUUCCCUUCUCUUAAAUGUCCAGCUGCAAUGAGACCAAGCUGCUCAUUCUGCACUGUCCUCCUGGAUAUGUUCCAGAAAAAAGGGCCAGAUUGUCAAGUAGUGUAGAUCAUUGCUGCUCCAAUAGAACUAUACCAAUUUACAGCAGCUGAGAAUCUGACCCAGGUUUGAUUUUUAGCUUGAUUACACGUCCUAAAGAUGGUAGGAUUAGUGUACUGCAUCUAGAUAGAAGGCUCUAGCACCCUCUGACUGAGUUCUACAAGCAAAAAAUGACCAUAGCUAUUGGGAGAAACAUUUAGCCCAGGUGAUUAGUAUUUAUUAUUUGUAUUUCAGCAAUGCCUAGAAGCCUCUACCAGGGAAAAGUAAUUGCCCCAGGAAUUCAGCUUAGCAACAACCUCUCACUACAUAAAUUUUAAGAAAGUAAACAUAUUAUAGAAAAUUAAAAUGGAAAGGUUGGUACUUGUUCCAGUCCAGUUCACUCCCCCUAAGUCUCAGCCUGGGGUUACUGUCACCCAUAUUUGCCAGUCCUAUGACAUUUUAGUGCUUCUCCUCAUUCCUUUAAUAUUUCUGCCUUGGCCAAGGAGGACUGGUGAGGCUACAACUUCACAUUGUUCAGAAAAGGCAUCAGGUAAACUAUAAUAUUUCUGGGGAAUUUGGAAAAUUCACACCUAGGGCCUUAAGAUCUGACCCUUGGGUAAGGGUAAGUACACAACUCUGAUUAGUCAGUGAGAGUCAAGGGAGAUCAGCACUAGGCCUGCUGUAAUUUUUAGUGAAUCCAUGUUUUCUUGUCCUCUCACAGAGAUCAAGUGCUUCUCUCAUCUCAUGCAUAGUCUCUGGGUGCUUGUCUUCACUAGACUCUUGUACCUAGAGUUAACUGCCAGCUAACUUGAGCUAGCUAACAUGUGUGUCUUUACCCUAGGGAAGAAACCAACCUUUGUAAUCUGGAUCAAGCUUGUGGGGAAUGUCCAUACUAGCUUUUAUAAAUGUGUUAGCUACCUCAAGUUAGCUGGCAAUCAGUUAACGCUAGAUACAACAGUCUAUCGAAAACAUACCCUCACUGUCAGUCGUUGCAUUUCUUAGGGUGUCAGGACACUUGGCUUAGCAAGAUUUCAUCAUAGACUCUUUCAUAAGCUCUCUUGGGUUUUGUCUUCUCUCUCAAAAAAGAUGCAUUUUUAACUGGUUUUAACCACAGGAAAACUAACACACCAUUAGCUAUCCUGCUGCAAAAUCCUAGUGGAGACAAGGCACGUGUCGUUUUUACUGUGAGGUAGGUAGGCAAGGUCAGUACUGUCCAUGCUUGACCUUGCCUAGUCUUCUGACAGUAAAAAUACAGGCCCAGAUCCUCAGCAUUAUUUAGACAGCUAACUCCCAUUGGUUUCACCCCUUUUUUUGCAAUGAUGACAUAGCCUGUGUCAGAUAUAGUGGCUAGCCAUGCUUGAGAUGCUUAUUGUCAAGGAGAUAAAUGUCUCUCUCAAGUGGUUGUUACAGGAGUCCCUGAAAAUAUAAUGGAGGACAGACCAGAAAUAAUUAUAAAACAGUCUCUUCCAGGAACCUGUCACUCUUGAACUUAAAUAUCAUGGAUGUGAAGUCUUGUUGCUACCAAAUAUGACAUCAACAAAUGUGAAAUUCCUGGUAAAAUGAGGGACAAAGCACAUUCAAAAAGAGUUGCUUACCUUUUAAAUAAAUAUACUUUGAUAAAGGUCCUCUGCAAAGGAAAAUAAACUAGGUUUAUGCCUGCCCUCUCCCCUCCCUUCUUUUUUUUUCUUUUUGGUCUAUAAAGGAUGCCUGAAAAAGUGUUUGAAAAAAGUUUUGUUUUGUGUUUUCCUUUUGUUUUUUCACACUAGAAAUUCAGAUCCCGUCUAGGCUGCAGGAUUCUAUGAUGGCAGGAGAAGUAGUGAAAUAAUGUAAGCCAAAUCAAUUACUGAGUUUCCAUCACAUUACACAACCGAAGAGAACACCUGUCCUUUUAUUUAUAUCCUAGUCUCUUCUGAGUUCCUGUCUCUGCUGUUUUCUGUAUGCUUCUCACAGUAACUGCUUUCUGUUUCAUGCCAUUAAUUCUGACUGCAUCUCAUUCCAACAUUUCCUGAUUUAACCUAAAAUCUCUGUUUAUGACCCUUGAUCCCUUUGAGAUGACUGAUGGAGCAGCGAUCACCAAAGGAGAUACGCUGUUAGAUGGGUUGAUCAGUGCACAGAGCAAACAAGAGAUCCUGUUCAAAAUGUAAAGUAUCACUAAUGGCAAGUUGUCUUCUCAUUUUAAAUACGGAGCAAGCAAGAGAUAGCUUAGCAUCAACUGACAUAAGCCAAAUAUUUACUGUAGGUUGGAUUGUGCCUGGCACCUACACACAUGCCCAGUGAUAGGGAAGUACAUAAAGAGCCUCUCCUUCUCUCAAAUUCCAGCUUGUGUGUUCCAUGUAAAGACAGGCAGACUUUACUCCAUUCAGGGGCUGCACCACGCUAUUCCCCUACUCCCCAUUUCCCCAGGGAAAUGUGCCAAAGGAGGUGAGAAGCAGUCAGGGAUAUGGCUUGUUCCCCGUUCCCAAUCACCUGCCAGCAGAAUUGGCCAGCCAUGUGAGAGGCAUGCAGUGGGCAUCUGACCUUCAAAGAGACUCAGUUUUGAGAAUCUGGCCCACAGUAUCAGAUUUGAACAUCUAGAACUAACACUCUCCAGUGUGCAGUGUUUGAUUAAUACCAAAACAGGAUUCUGGGGAGAUGCCUUUAUUGUUUAUCAUCUGACCUCUUCUCUGUUUGUUUGUCUCACAUGUUGUAGGAGGUGACUAUACUUGUGCAUUGUAAUGUUUUUUUUCUUAGAGAACUGUUUGUAUUUUUAUCCUUUAAAAAUAAACAAAUGAUGAAG